GAAACGGUAUAUCGAAGUCAAUGGCAUUGCUGCAUCAUGACGACAUUCGACCUAAACAGACCUGACUUCGCUACCACUAGACCACGCGACCACCGAGGGCGCCAGGCAGUGCGGCGAGGACUCGGCACUGCACAGGGAGAGCGCCGCGGGGCCGGCAGACGACGGUUCGCCCCGUGUGCAUGGUUCUGUGCUAGGUGUGCUGUUCGAAGAAGUUGAGCGGGGGUGAGCUGAGGUAGCCGCGGCGAGCAGGAAGGAGAAGGCGGGGCCGGUCGGCGGAGAAGGAGGAAGGAAGGGGCCGAGUCGGGCGGCGUAGACGGCAGCAGGGCAAGGCGGUCGGUCGGUAGUAGAGUCUCAUCAGCAGCAGCAGCACCAGCAGACCGACUCUUCCUACCCUCUCAGCGGCGGUGGUUGCGGCGGCGGCGGCCGCCGCGGCCGGUUCCACAUGAUGCUCCCCACGGGGCCCACGCGGUACCUCGCCUCCUUCCUCUCGUCGUGCCCCUGGGGCAUGUUCCUCGAGAAGAAGCAGCCCUAGUGGUGGAAACGUAGUAGAAACGGCUAGUGCAGCGACAAGGGCAAAGAGAUGAAGUACUAUGUUCUGAACGUGCAACGAGUUUCUCUUCUUCUAUAACCUAAGAUACGACCUAAAGAACCACGUAGUAUAUACCAACCAUCUCCAAAGCGUAGCUAGAAAACCCCGUACCAACGUCUAGCGUAGCCUGCCUUCGGACAUUAACAUAAAAGUGAAAAGUGCCAGUAACACAAGUUGUGAAAUAAGCCUAAUUCACACUUUAUAACCUACCGAUAGUGAUGUUCCAACGAAGAACCACGUGAUUUGCCUAAAGAUCGUGGUUAGUUCCGAAUGAGGUAACUUCAAACGGCCCUACUGCUUGUUCGAAACCCGUAUAGUUAACAGUUAUGUCGUACCCCUAAUCCGGAAUAUUAACCGGGUCGUUAACCCCCGAUGGAACGAGUCGGUCGGUUUGUUAUAGGUGUGUAAAAGGUACUGUUCAGUUGCAAACCCUCCAAGGGUAUAGAAGAAGGUACAGAAACGUAUAGUUAAAAGCGUUGUAAGCGGGAGUAUUCGACGUAUACCGAAGGCCUUUGUGAUGUGUUCGUGCGGUUCAAACUUUACUCUCGACUUUGCCGACUUCGACCGUGUUGAGUCCUUUCAUGUCUCAGUGGAUUCUUCUCGAAUACCUUUUUAACCGGCAACUACAGCAGGUAAUAGUGUAUAACACAGAAGAGGGAAGUACUGUGACGUAUAUCACUCUAUAAAAGGGACACCUGACAUUCACCAUCUUUUAUACCACCUGAAUCGAAAAGUAGAUUCCUACAGCCAGUUCAAGAAUGUCACCGUCCACAGUCAGAAGAACAUAUGGUUUAGAAACAAAUAGCAACCGAGUUAUUAUGUGAUCCUGGACAUUUGAGUUGGGCGUAACGUAGACGGGACAGAUAUGGUUAAUAACGACGAAUAGGGAAAUACUGUGCGAACAGUCCUUAUUCUGAACCAGACCGAGAGAUAUAACGUCGUUACUAAUUUUCGCAAGAGCGAUAUUGAUCUCAAAGGCCGUGAAGAGAAGAUGUUUUGUUACGGCACGGUGUUCCCGUUUCUCCACGACGCUUACCUUAUCGGUGUUGUAAUUACAGGAACAAGUUCAGACAACGAGGUCGUCCCCGUCCAUAAGAUAAGAGCACCCGUGUCUUCGCGGUCGUACGUCGCAAGAAAGGUCCACUAGUCUACCACAAGGAAGAUGACUUGCACUGUCUCCAGGAACCCGAGAACGACUGGAAGUUCGGAAAGGACCGUCAGGGGGUUGUGAUGUUCAUUUUGGACUGUCUCAUGGACACAUCCAUAACGAUAUCUCGUCACGCACACAAACACACCGUGACCGUACGAUAUUCUCGCUUCUGACUUCUCAGAAGAAAAGAACAUGAACAUCUACAUCGUCACAACAACCGUGAACACUGGAUUUAGUUAGUCAGCCGGUUAACGUCAGAACCGUACGAGACAACGAGAGGAUCAACAACAAUCGGAUACCAUGCAUGACAUCAUUCCUCCUUAUCUCCAUUGGACUUACUUAGAAAGUUAAAGAACUACGUU
rnacentral:rRNA from 1 species